rfam:Ornithorhynchus anatinus chromosome 4, whole genome shotgun sequence.
CCCCUCUCAGGAUUACACCUGGAGAGUUUCCAGGACUCUACUAGUCUCGGCUACAGGAGGAAGAGUCAAGCAGAGACCUCCCCAUUCCAUUCCUAGCUUGGGCGGUGGCUAGCGAGCGGAAGGCGAUCUGCUACAAGU